AUUGAACGCUGGCGGCAUGCCUAACACAUGCAAGUCGAACGGUUUUGGAGCUUGCUCCAAGAUAGUGGCGGACGGGUGAGUAACGCGUAGGAAUCUGCCUUGUAGAGGGGGACAACCCGGGGAAACUCGGGCUAAUACCGCAUAAUAAUCGAGAGAUGAAAGGGUGGGACCUUAGGGCCACUCGCUAUAAGAUGAGCCUGCGUUGGAUUAGCUAGUUGGUGGGGUAAAGGCCUACCAAGGCGACGAUCCAUAACUGGUCUGAGAGGAUGACCAGUCACACUGGGACUGAGACACGGCCCAGACUCCUACGGGAGGCAGCAGUGGGGAAUAUUGGACAAUGGGGGCAACCCUGAUCCAGCAAUGCCGCGUGUGUGAAGAAGGCCUGCGGGUUGUAAAGCACUUUUAGCGAUGAGGAAGAGGUUAAGUCGAAUAGGCUUAGCUUUUGACGUUAGUCGCAGAAAAAGCACCGGCUAACUCUGUGCCAGCCGCCGCCGUAA
rnacentral:rRNA from 1 species